rnacentral:rRNA from 1 species
AUACGUAGGGGGCGAGCGUUGUCCGGAAUGAUUGGGCGUAAAGGGCGCGUAGGCGGCCCGGUAAGUCUGGAGUGAAAGUCCUGCUUUUAAGGUGGGAAUUGCUUUGGAUACUGUCGGGCUUGAGUGCAGGAGAGGUAAGUGGAAUUCCCAGUGUAGCGGUGAAAUGCGUAGAGAUUGGGAGGAACACCAGUGGCGAAGGCGACUUACUGGACUGUAACUGACGCUGAGGCGCGAAAGUGCGGGGAUCGAACAGGAUUAGAUACCCUGGUAGUCCGCACAGUAAACGAUGAAUACUUGUUUUCGGCGAUAUAAUGUCGGAGGCAAAGCGAAAGCGAUAAGUAUUCCACCUGGGGAGUACGCCGGCAACGGUGAAACUCAAAUGAAUUGACGGGG